AGAUAUGUUUCUUAGAGGAGGUCUAGGCUAUAGUCUAUAUCAGAUACGUUUCUUAGAGGAGGUCUAGGCUAUAGUCUAUAUCAGAUACGUUUCUUAGAGGAGGUCUAGGCUAUGGGUCAUAUCAGAUACGUUUCUUAGAGGAGGUCUAGGCUAUAGUCUAUAUCAGAUAUGUUUCUUAGAGGAGGUCUAGGCUAUAGUCUAUAUCAGAUACGUUUCUUAGAGGAGG